GGAAGGAAACUACCAAUCAACCUUCCAGGGGUUUCCCGACACCAAACUUUGAUGUAGGAAAACAUGAUGAAUGGGUGAGUAUUGGUGUUGGCCUAAGAGUCAAGCCAAACACAUCUUGCCCCAAGAGGGCUUCAUGUAAGUGCCUCAUUCUUCCAUUUAUAUCCCAUGUACCUCUGAUAGAAAUAGCCACAUAUGUUAAAUAAACGCACCAUUUCCUCUGUAGAGUAAACUGUGCGCUUCCUGGAGUUAAUGGGAUUUUGGCACUUAAUAAGCAGUGAGCCCUGGAAUGACUGUGUGUAGGGAAAAGCGCUUGUAUCUGUGCUAUACUUGCAUAAUAAUAAGAGUAAAUCCCUUGGUUUUCUUUUUAGGCAGACACAAGUCUUAAUGGAUCCCAGGAAUCAAAACCAGAAUUGGGAUUCCCUUGGCUGCUGGUGUAUCUUCCUGUAACGAGUUGCCACGCUGUCUUGGAGGGCGAUGCUGGAACUUUCUCUCCUCCAGAUCUGAGCAGGAUGCCAGGCAACAGCUGGUGCAACUGGACUAUCUGGGCUGGUCCUCACAAGCACAUCUUGAUUUACAUAGAAGGAUUUGAAGGGGUUUCACAAUGUGAAGAAAAUCAGGAUAAGCUCAUAUUCCAAGGAGUCUUAUCAAGUGUCGAAAGCAAAGUAACUUAUGCUUGCAGAAACCAUGGUACUUUGGUGUUUGCUGCACAGGCUGUGGCUGUCCAUAUAGUGUUUUUGUCAACAAUGUCUUCUCACAACCAUAGUCAUAAAUAUUUUAAAGGACGGUAUUAUGUAUUUGAAGAUUAUGAAACUUUUACUGGUGGUGAAAGGCCAGUUGUGAAAUCUAACAGCAGUGCUGGACUUUCUCCCAAGUCUUUUAUAAUGCACUCACAGCAUAUUUUGGAUUUUGUAAACACCAGCAGAAAGCUUAGCAGCGAAAAUGGGCUUCCUGCGACUAGUAAAGAGAGGUGGUGGAGAAAUGGCAAGGCUACAAGCUUAGAAUCAUUCCUACAGCCUACAGUUUCUCUCUUGAAAACCAAAAAAAAAGUUUCCUUGAAACCUCUUGAUAUAAAAAGGAUACGUGUUGCUAAGCCAACUACUGAUGACAUUAGGAAUGGGAAUGAAACCUCUUCCAGCAACUUCAAGAAAACUCUAGUCUUGGAAUCAAGCAGUUUUGAGAAUGAAGACAAAGCAAUUAUGUACAAGCCAAUUGCCUCUUCAGCCACACUACGUGUGUCCCAAAAGGUCAGAAUGAUGACAAAAUUGGUGGCAAUGAAAGGUCAUGGAACUGCCACUGAAUCUGUCAAUCUUCAAAAUAGUGGGCACAGAACCACACGCUGGGAGCCAGCAUACAUGAGCAACACUGGGAGAACAAUAUUAGGAACAUCUGCCUUGAGUGGCACUACUUUCCCACAAAUCUUCAUGGAAGAUCAGAGAACUCCAGUUUCACCUCCUAAAAGUAUCCCAGAGAAGAAGCAAGAACAGGUUCCUCACUCACUGCUGACUAAUUCUGAGUUCUCCAGGAAAAUCAUGGGUGAAAUGGAAUUUCAACACUUGGAACUGCAGGAAGUAUUUACAGGAGAGCAGAGGAACAAUCAAGCCUUUGGAGAAGAGAAUGACAACAGUGAUAAGUACAUAGCAGUGAGUACUGCUGUAGGAAAAAAUGACUCUCGUGGAGCAGAGCAGUUCACUACAGAAAUGCCAGACAUUCCUACAGCCAAGCCAAAAACCUAUCUGACCACUGUAGGGUACCCUAAUGUGCUUCCUGCUCCUUCUCUAAGGAUGCUUAAUAGGAAACUCUUGGGCCCCACAACCACUACAGCUACAAAUUUCCAGGCUGUUCCCUCAAAGAACCCAAAAGGUACCCAAGUAGAGGCAGUUUCUACUUCGCCUCUCAACAAUCCAGUAACCAGAAACGCAGAGCGACUGCAAAAGAAGCGCACAAACCCAAAUCCUCCCUACUCACCUUCUGCUCAGGUGUCAAGUCAUAAAACUUCAUUGAAAGCAGAGAAUAAUUCCUAUGAGAGGGAUUUUGUUUUGAAGCCCCAUGACAAUAAUUUUGUACUGGAAUCUGAGCACAAUCCUGGAGAUCUUCUGUUUGAAAUAAGUUUUGGUAUAGAAAACAAAGGAUGGAGCUCUCCCACUGGAAGUGAGUUGGAAAAAGCUCUCAUAGACUCUAUUAAGAGUCAGGUGCAAGAGAAAGUGAAACUCCUCUCAAUCAAAGUCAAGGAAGUCAAGUUAAAGGAAAUUAUAAGGAACGAAGAAACUGAAACUGAUAGACAAAAUGGUCCAAACCUGAUAUUCAUGUUCUGGCUCCAUCUAACACCAGAAGAAAAGAAUAUAUCUCACUUAUUGCAUUUGCAACUGGAAGACCUUGGUGGAGCAUCUGUGGAACUUGGCAAGGUUCAGACAGUUGUGGUGAGAGAUGUGAAUGAAUGCAGCUCUGGGAUUGGGCUAUGUGGUGACAAGGCAAUCUGUCACAAUGGAUAUGGUACAUAUAUAUGUCAAUGUAAAGAAGGUUAUGAGGAUCGUUCUCCAAAAAAUUCAGGAACCCUGUGCUUUCAUAAUCCACAGACAGGCAUUAGCUCCUUGUUCCGCUAUACCGAGAUUCUUGUAGGUACCACUGUUUUUUUCAUCUGUGCUCUUGUAGUGGUGAUCAGUGUGCUGUGCAGCAUAGUAAAAAAUAAAUUUACUAAGAAGGACUUGCACUUUCAAGAGGCUGCUUUGCCUGGGACAUCGACAUCAUUUGAUCAGAAUAACAUCCACCCUCUCCUUAGUCUAGACCCUGGCCUGUUAAAACUCAGAGCCAAGUCGCCAGAACGGCCUUUACAACAGAGAACUAGCCCCAGUGAAACGUACAGAGUAUCUAUUGAGCAGUCUGAAUGUUUAUAAAGAAAAUGCAAUACAAGUUGCACCCCCCCUUCCCCAAUUCAUAAUCUCCUUUCAUUUCUUGUUAGUGAGUAGAUGCUACUUUCUGUUUCUUAGCAGUUCUUACAGAAUUCUUUUUAUCACCCCUUGUCCUGUGCCCAUUUUCCCCAAUAUCUUAAUUAAAAUGUAACUCUUAUAGUAUUUUUUUUCUUCAAUUUAUGAGCAACUGUAUUUUCUGCCAGCUUUAUAUAUAAACAGCAAUGAAUAUGACUUCUGUUCAUGACUGUUAAUAAACCUGAUAUCCUGCUCUUUGUGUAAUUGUGUAUCUUGGUUAAUAGUCAAAAUAAAUGCAUGGGGC
ensembl:lncRNA